CUACGGGUCGCAGCAGUGAGGAAUAUUGCACAAUGGGGGGAACCCUGAUGCAGCAACGCCGCGUGGAGGAUGACGCAUUUCGGUGUGUAAACUCCUUUUAUAUGUCAAGAAAAUGACGGUAGCAUAUGAAUAAGCACCGGCUAACUCCGUGCCAGCAGCCGCGGUAAUACGGAGGGUGCAAGCGUUACUCGGAAUCACUGGGCGUAAAGGACGCGUAGGCGGGUUGGAAAGUCAGGUGUGAAAUCCUACAGCUUUACUGUAGAACUGCACUUGAAACUUCUAAUCUAGAGUAUGGGAGGGGGAGAUGGAAUUAGUGGUGUAGGGGUAAAAUCCGUAGAUAUCACUAGGAAUACCUAAAGCGGAGGCGAUCUCCUGGAACAUUACUGACGCUAAGGCGUGAAAGCGUGGGGAGCAAACAGGAUUAGAUACCCGAGUAGUC
rnacentral:rRNA from 1 species